GAGAGUGUCCCUAUGAACUUUGAGAAUUCGUUAUCGUUGUGCUCCUUUAUUUUGUUUUUUAUUUCCUUUGCAAGUUUGUUUAAGUGUUUUUUGUUUUCUCGGGUUUCUUUAUUUUUGCCAUUUUGCUUUUGCUUUUCUUUUUUCUUUGAUUUUUGUUUUUUUUUUUUUUUUUUUUUUUUUUUUUUUUUUUUUUUUUUUUUUUUUUUUAUUAAAAUUCACAAUUUGUCCAAUUU
rnacentral:misc_RNA from 1 species